ACCUACGGGGGGCAGCAGUGAGGAAUAUUGGUCAAUGGCCGGAAGGCUGAACCAGCCAAGUCGCGUGAGGGACGACUGCCCUAUGGGUUGUAAACCUCUUUUAUAAGGGAAGAAUAAAUGCUACGUGUAGCAUGAUGCCUGUACCUUAUGAAUAAGCAUCGGCUAACUCCGUGCCAGCAGCCGCGGUAAUACGGAGGGAGCAAGCGUUAUCCGGAAUUAUUGGGUGUAAAGGGUGCGUAGACGGGACAGCAAGUUAGUUGUGAAAGCCCUCGGCUUAACUGAGGCAC
rnacentral:rRNA from 1 species